GAUGAACGCUAGCGGCAGGCCUAAUACAUGCAAGUCGAGGGGCAGCGCGGUAGCAAUACUGGCGGCGACCGGCGCACGGGUGCGUAACACGUAUGCAACCUACCUUCAACUGGAGGAUAGCCCGGGGAAACUCGGAUUAAUACUCCAUAACACAGGGAUCCCGCAUGGGAAUAUUGUUAAAGCUACGGCGGUUGAAGAUGGGCAUGCGUUCGAUUAGCUAGUUGGUGUAGGUAACGGCUCACCAAGGCUACGAUCGAUAGGGGGUCUGAGAGGAUGAUCCCCCACACUGUACUGAGAUACGGACCAGACUCCUACGGGAGGCAGCAGUAGGGAAUA
rnacentral:rRNA from 1 species